rnacentral:misc_RNA from 1 species
AGGUUGUUUACAAAUAACGACGUGAAACGUAAUAUAAGAAGCUAGAUAAAUAUAUUUAUUUAUGAUAAUGAUACACAGUUAUUUAAAAAUUCAUUAAUAUUGUUGAUAUUUGACAUUCAGCUGUAGGUUUUCAUCGUUAAUGGAAUUAAUUUAGCGACGGUGUCCAAUAUGAUUUUUGCCCUGCAAAAAUAUCCUAACCAUAUAAAAUGAAUGACUAUUAUGACAGUUGGAAGUAUGGGGCUUUGAGAAUAUUCGAAUCAUUGAACAGUUCCAAUUAAAAUACUGUCUGAAUGAUGACGACCCCAGAGACAGACCUAGAUGUUGAGUUAAAGAUAAUGGCAGACGGAACAGUAUUGGAACAGAACAACACAGCCAAUGGCACCGCUGGAGAGACUCCAGAAACACCAAGAAAAUGUCUGGCACUUCGCACAGCCUGUCACAGCUGUACUAAGCCAUUACGAACAAAGUACAAUCCCCUAGCAAGUGAUGCAACAAUGGGAGAGAAAUUUAAAUACACGUUCAUGUGCCCACCUCAUGGGAGAAUAGCAAAAUAUAUCAUGUUUGUAGUGAUGUUCUUUGUGUCCUGGGCGGUUCUGAUGUCAUUAACUGGAUCUGGAGGUCUCCCAGGUGGAAAUUUCUUCUCACUGGUUAUCAUGUUCUUUGCCUGUGUAGUAGGAGGAUACCUCGUUGUCUACGUCAAACUACCACCUCUUUUAGGAAUGUUGAUCAUAGGAUGUUUGUUACGUAAUGUACCUGGUAUCAGCAUAGUAGGCACAAACUUAGAUAAAAGUUGGUCAUCAGCAUUAAGACAGAUAGCAUUAACUGUGAUUCUGAUACGUGCUGGUCUUGGUUUGGACCCACAAGCCUUGAUGAAGCUGUCCUGGGCUGUCCUUAGACUGGCUUUUUCACCCUGUCUGGCUGAGUGUCUCGCAGAGGCUGUUGCUGCACACUUCCUACUUGGGUUUCCAUGGAUCUGGGGUAUUAUGCUUGGGUUUGUGUUGGCAGCAGUAUCACCAGCUGUUGUGGUACCAUCACUUCUUGGUCUGUCAGAUAGGGGUUACGGAAUUGACAAGGGAAUUCCAACACUGGUUAUAGCUGCAGCAAGUGUAGAUGAUGUCCUGGCUAUCACAGGAUUCGGUGUAUCACUGGGAAUUGCUUUUUCUACAGGUGACCUAGCGCUAUCUAUAGUAAAGGGUCCUUUGGAGGCAAUAGCUGGUGUAGUAUAUGGUAUUGUGGGUGGAAUUCUUAUCUGGUAUAUACCAAACAGGGCUAGUCGACAUGUUGUGCUGUACCGUGCAUUCCUCUUGUUUGGUUUGGGACUGAUGGCAACAUUUGGCAGUAAUGCACUGCAUUUGUCAGGAGCUGGUCCCCUGGGCUGUCUUACUCUAGCUUUUGUCGGUGGAUUCAAGUGGAAAAAGGAAGAUUGGUCAGCUGAGGGUGGGGAACCAAUGAAAGAAAUAGUGUCUAUACUGUGGAUGAUAUUCCAGCCAUUGCUGUUUGGUCUGAUUGGUGCUGAAAUUGAUGUUCUAAAAAUAGACGUGGGAACAGUAGGUUUAGGUCUUGCCACUCUGGGUAUUGGACUUGUCAUCCGAUUGAUUGUGUCAUUUUUCGCAGUGUUUGGAACUGAUCUCAACAUUCGAGAAAGACUUUUCAUUCCUUUAGCGUGGUUCCCCAAAGCCACUGUACAGGCUGCUAUAGGAGCAGUAGCACUGGACACGGCACGUAAGAUGGACAGUGAGGAGGGUGAAGAAUUCGGCAAACAGAUUCUCACGUUAGCGGUACUAAGUAUAAUCAUCACAGCUCCAAUUGGUGCUGCAGCCAUAGCCAUAGCGGGACCAUUACUGUUACAGCAGUCAGACAGGGCCACCGAGACAGUUUACACAGUAGACGAUGAUCAAGUUGAAGAACAAGGGAGUAUUUCAGUAAUUACCAGUUGAAACAAGUAAACUUCUACAAGAAAAGAAUGAGAAGGAAGAUGUCUGAGGACAAUUAGGAAAGACUGAGCAAUGAAGAGUUUCUAGUCAAGUUAAGGUGAAGGCAGCAUCUACAAAAAUCAUAUUUACAAAGGAGCAUCUCUGUUAUGGACUUUUUUCAGCUGGCAUAAACAAGAGGACUGUGAUCUCAUUUUAUUCAAUUGGCUGGUUAUGUCCCCAGACUGUCCAGUUUUUAUAUUCAAGUAAAGAAGAUAUAUUUUUAUUGGAUGAUAAUUACUGUAUCAGUUUAAAUUCUAGGUUACUAGAAUACAGGAUUUUUUUUAUUGGCAGUAAUCUGGGCAUUUUUUGUAUUUAUAUAUAUACAAAAUUGUUACAAAUAAUAUGAUUGUUAUGAAAAGAGAUGUAUUUCUUUGCAUGCACAAAAAGCUAUUCAUUGUGUUGAAACAGUGUGACUUGACUUUAUGAUAUCAUAUAUUUGUGAAACAGUCUCCACCAUUAAGCACAAUUAAUACUUGGCCAAAACUUCUUAUUUUUACAUUGUUGCCAUUUUACAUACUGUGUUCCAGUAAGGUAUGUAAAGAAAUAAAAAAAAGAUUCAAAAAUAUGCAGAAUAGAUCUCGGUCAUAUCUCACUUACAAAAUGUCAGAUUUGAUAGAUAUUAUUUGAAAUUAUAUUUACGUAAUCUGACAUGUAGCAGAUGAUGCAGAAUCCCCUACUAUAGAGGCAUGCAGCUGUCUGUACAUGCAGUACCUUAUACUGUACUAUAUAAAUGUCCCCUACCCAAACCAAUUUGAAAAAAAAAAUUUACUUUCCUUCCGACUUUUUAUGCCCCGAAGGGAGGCAUGUAGUUUUUGAACCGUCUGUCGGUCUGUCGGUCUGUCAGUCUGUCCGCAAUUUUCGUGUCCGG